rnacentral:rRNA from 1 species
AUGAACGCUAGCGGCAGGCUUAAUACAUGCAAGUCGAGGGGCAGCGCAGUGUAGCAAUACAUGGGCGGCGACCGGCAAACGGGUGCGUAACACGUACGCAACCUUCCCGUUACUGUGGGAUAGCCCAGGGAAACUUGGAUUAAUACCACAUAUUGCCAUUGAGAGGCAUCUCUUGAUGGCCAAAGAAUUUCGGUAACGGAUGGGCAUGCGUGCCAUUAGCUAGUUGGCGAGGUAACGGCUCACCAAGGCUACGAUGGCUAGGGGUUCUGAGAGGAAGAUCCCCCACACUGGUACUGAGACACGGACCAGACUCCUACGGGAGGCAGCAGUGAGGAAUAUUGGUCAAUGGGCGGAAGCCUGAACCAGCCAUGCCGCGUGCAGGAAGACGGCCCUACGGGUUGUAAACUGCUUUUAUGUGAGGAUAAACCUAGAUUUGCGAAUCUAGCUGAAGGUAUCACAUGAAUAAGGAUCGGCUAACUCCGUG